GGUUAAGCGACUAAGCGUACACGGUGGAUGCCCUGGCAGUCAGAGGCGAUGAAGGACGUGCUAAUCUGCGAUAAGCGUCGGUAAGGUGAUAUGAACCGUUAUAACCGGCGAUUUCCGAAUGGGGAAACCCAGUGUGUUUCGACACACUAUCAUUAACUGAAUCCAUAGGUUAAUGAGGCGAACCGGGGGAACUGAAACAUCUAAGUACCCCGAGGAAAAGAAAUCAACCGAGAUUCCCCCAGUAGCGGCGAGCGAACGGGGAGCAGCCCAGAGCCUGAAUCAGUGUGUGUGUUAGUGGAAGCGUCUGGAAAGGCGCGCGAUACAGGGUGACAGCCCCGUACACAAAAAUGCACAUGCUGUGAGCUCGAUGAGUAGGGCGGGACACGUGGUAUCCUGUCUGAAUAUGGGGGGACCAUCCUCCAAGGCUAAAUACUCCUGACUGACCGAUAGUGAACCAGUACCGUGAGGGAAAGGCGAAAAGAACCCCGGCGAGGGGAGUGAAAAAGAACCUGAAACCGUGUACGUACAAGCAGUGGGAGCACGCUUCGGCGUGUGACUGCGUACCUUUUGUAUAAUGGGUCAGCGACUUAUAUUCUGUAGCAAGGUUAACCGAAUAGGGGAGCCGAAGGGAAACCGAGUCUUAACUGGGCGUUAAGUUGCAGGGUAUAGACCCGAAACCCGGUGAUCUAGCCAUGGGCAGGUUGAAGGUUGGGUAACACUAACUGGAGGACCGAACCGACUAAUGUUGAAAAAUUAGCGGAUGACUUGUGGCUGGGGGUGAAAGGCCAAUCAAACCGGGAGAUAGCUGGUUCUCCCCGAAAGCUAUUUAGGUAGCGCCUCGUGAAUUCAUCUCCGGGGGUAGAGCACUGUUUCGGCAAGGGGGUCAUCCCGACUUACCAACCCGAUGCAAACUGCGAAUACCGGAGAAUGUUAUCACGGGAGACACACGGCGGGUGCUAACGUCCGUCGUGAAGAGGGAAACAACCCAGACCGCCAGCUAAGGUCCCAAAGUCAUGGUUAAGUGGGAAACGAUGUGGGAAGGCCCAGACAGCCAGGAUGUUGGCUUAGAAGCAGCCAUCAUUUAAAGAAAGCGUAAUAGCUCACUGGUCGAGUCGGCCUGCGCGGAAGAUGUAACGGGGCUAAACCAUGCACCGAAGCUGCGGCAGCGACGCUUAUGCGUUGUUGGGUAGGGGAGCGUUCUGUAAGCCUGUGAAGGUGUGCUGUGAGGCAUGCUGGAGGUAUCAGAAGUGCGAAUGCUGACAUAAGUAACGAUAAAGCGGGUGAAAAGCCCGCUCGCCGGAAGACCAAGGGUUCCUGUCCAACGUUAAUCGGGGCAGGGUGAGUCGACCCCUAAGGCGAGGCCGAAAGGCGUAGUCGAUGGGAAACAGGUUAAUAUUCCUGUACUUGGUGUUACUGCGAAGGGGGGACGGAGAAGGCUAUGUUGGCCGGGCGACGGUUGUCCCGGUUUAAGCGUGUAGGCUGGUUUUCCAGGCAAAUCCGGAAAAUCAAGGCUGAGGCGUGAUGACGAGGCACUACGGUGCUGAAGCAACAAAUGCCCUGCUUCCAGGAAAAGCCUCUAAGCAUCAGGUAACAUCAAAUCGUACCCCAAACCGACACAGGUGGUCAGGUAGAGAAUACCAAGGCGCUUGAGAGAACUCGGGUGAAGGAACUAGGCAAAAUGGUGCCGUAACUUCGGGAGAAGGCACGCUGAUAUGUAGGUGAAGCGACUUGCUCGUGGAGCUGAAAUCAGUCGAAGAUACCAGCUGGCUGCAACUGUUUAUUAAAAACACAGCACUGUGCAAACACGAAAGUGGACGUAUACGGUGUGACGCCUGCCCGGUGCCGGAAGGUUAAUUGAUGGGGUCAGCGCAAGCGAAGCUCUUGAUCGAAGCCCCGGUAAACGGCGGCCGUAACUAUAACGGUCCUAAGGUAGCGAAAUUCCUUGUCGGGUAAGUUCCGACCUGCACGAAUGGCGUAAUGAUGGCCAGGCUGUCUCCACCCGAGACUCAGUGAAAUUGAACUCGCUGUGAAGAUGCAGUGUACCCGCGGCAAGACGGAAAGACCCCGUGAACCUUUACUAUAGCUUGACACUGAACAUUGAGCCUUGAUGUGUAGGAUAGGUGGGAGGCUUUGAAGUGUGGACGCCAGUCUGCAUGGAGCCGACCUUGAAAUACCACCCUUUAAUGUUUGAUGUUCUAACGUUGACCCGUAAUCCGGGUUGCGGACAGUGUCUGGUGGGUAGUUUGACUGGGGCGGUCUCCUCCUAAAGAGUAACGGAGGAGCACGAAGGUUGGCUAAUCCUGGUCGGACAUCAGGAGGUUAGUGCAAUGGCAUAAGCCAGCUUGACUGCGAGCGUGACGGCGCGAGCAGGUGCGAAAGCAGGUCAUAGUGAUCCGGUGGUUCUGAAUGGAAGGGCCAUCGCUCAACGGAUAAAAGGUACUCCGGGGAUAACAGGCUGAUACCGCCCAAGAGUUCAUAUCGACGGCGGUGUUUGGCACCUCGAUGUCGGCUCAUCACAUCCUGGGGCUGAAGUAGGUCCCAAGGGUAUGGCUGUUCGCCAUUUAAAGUGGUACGCGAGCUGGGUUUAGAACGUCGUGAGACAGUUCGGUCCCUAUCUGCCGUGGGCGCUGGAGAACUGAGGGGGGCUGCUCCUAGUACGAGAGGACCGGAGUGGACGCAUCACUGGUGUUCGGGUUGUCAUGCCAAUGGCACUGCCCGGUAGCUAAAUGCGGAAGAGAUAAGUGCUGAAAGCAUCUAAGCACGAAACUUGCC
rnacentral:rRNA from 1 species